AGCGAACGCUGGCGGCAGGCCUAACACAUGCAAGUCGAACGAACCCUUCGGGGUUAGUGGCGGACGGGUGAGUAACACGUGGGAACGUGCCUUUAGGUUCGGAAUAACUCAGGGAAACUUGUGCUAAUACCGAAUGUGCCCUUCGGGGGAAAGAUUUAUCGCCUUUAGAGCGGCCCGCGUCUGAUUAGCUAGUUGGUGAGGUAAAGGCUCACCAAGGCGACGAUCAGUAGCUGGUCUGAGAGGAUGAUCAGCCACAUUGGGACUGAGACACGGCCCAAACUCCUACGGGAGGCAGCAGUGGGGAAUCUUGCGCAAUGGGCGAAAGCCUGACGCAGCCAUGCCGCGUGAAUGAUGAAGGUCAUAGGAUUGUAAAAUUCUUUCACCGGGGACGAUAAUGACGGUACCCGGAGAAGAAGCCCCGGCUAACUUCGUGCCAGCAGCCGCCGUAAUAC
rnacentral:rRNA from 1 species